UUUUGAAUUCGAAUUUCGAAUUUGAGCAUAAGAAGACCCAAAUAUUCGCCGUUUUUCAUGGUUUGCUGCCGCGAGCAAAGUUUUAGUAACUCUAGCAAAUUUCCUUCUUUUGACGCAGUGAAGUGCGGAAUCGCUACGCGUCGUCAUCGGCGACCAAUCGUUUGGGACCUUUUGCGUUCAGAGCCAGGUUUAAUUUUCCGCCCGCGAGGUCCGAUCGAUCGGGCGGCGCGCCGGCGGCGAUGGACCGCGACGGCCGGCCGGGCUGGCUACCGUCGCUGGGGUUCGCGUUCCUCAGCUUCAACUGCGGCAUGGCGAUCUACCGCUCCGGCGGCGACCCUUCCUCGGUGGCCUUCAUCGCCGUCGCCUACCUCGCGCUCGUCGCCCUCUUCCUCUGCCUCCACCUGCUGGAGCAGGCCCCCGCGCAGGCCGGCCGGCGGCGCCGGCCGCUGAAGGUGGCGGUGUGGGGGCUCUCCACGCUCCUCACGCUCAUGUUCUCCCUCAAGGUCGCCGCCAUCAUGCCGAUCUGGGGCGCCGUGGCCGUGUGGGGGAUGGGGAUCGGCACCAUCGCCGCGGGCUUCUACGCCUUCUUCGUCCACCGCGAGGCCCCCUGAUGAUUGAUGAUGGUGGCGGUGACCUCAGCUUGUUUGGACUGUUGUUGCUGUUCCAUUUUGUUUUCAGCUAUCGCAAGCUGUAGCUUUUAUUUCCAGAUACAAUUGUAAAACCAUCGGAAGACUAUUAUUAAAACAUUAGAUCUGCACAAGCUGCAGCUGUUAAACUUCCAUGUGCUAGACUUUUCUUCUAUCACAAAGAAAUCUUGGGUACGGUCGGCCAAAUGUAUUGCAAAGGUCAAGUUUUCAGCAGUUGGGGCUGGGCUUCUUCAAAAGUCAAACUGUGGCUAUGGAGACGUUUGUCGCUCCCCUCCGUUGCUGCUGCUAAUCGAGGGCCAAAACAGGUGCUCUUUGUUCAUACCUUGGCAAUGUAAUAACAAAACGUUCAUCUUCUUGCGUGGUUUUGUAAAGUUGGCGUUGGUUUAAUCUGUGAUGCAGGCCACCUUUCCACCUAUUUAAAGUUUGUAUUUUGUAGUUGCAUGACCACAGAGAUUGUUUGGGAGCGCCUCCGAUGUGAAAUUAGUUGCCCAGGUGCUAGAGUCGGAAGAAAUUUCGUGAUGUUCAUAUAGCCAGAUUUCUUCCUACACACUACUGCGGCAAUCAUGUAAUGAAAAGAAUUGUGUUUCGACAUGGGAAGUUCGAUGACUUUGUUUUAUCUUAUACUACCUCCAUUUCAUGA